CCGCCAGAGUACUACNAGCAACAGCUUAAAACUCAAAGGACUUGGCGGUGCUCUAUACCCCCCUAGAGGAGCCUGUUCUAUAAUCGAUAAUCCACGAUAAACCUCACCAUCUAUUGCUAAUACAGCCUAUAUACCACCGUCCAGCCCACCCUUUAAAGGAUAAACAGUAGGCACAAUUAUAAACAUAAAAACGUCAGGUCAAGGUGUAGCAUAUAAGAUGGGAAGAAAUGGGCUACAUUUUCUAAUCUAGAAAAUACGGAAAAGUCUAUGAAAUAGGACUAUAAAGGAGGAUUUAGCAGUAAAAAGAAAAAAGAGUGUUCUUUUUAAGCCGGCAAUGGAGCGCGC
rnacentral:rRNA from 1 species